rnacentral:rRNA from 1 species
AACGAACGCUGGCGGCAUGCCUAACACAUGCAAGUCGAACGAGACCUUCGGGUCUAGUGGCGCACGGGUGCGUAACGCGUGGGAACCUGCCCUUAGGCUCGGAAUAACUCCCCGAAAGGGGUGCUAAUACCGGAUAAUGUCUUCGGACCAAAGAUUUAUCGCCUUUGGAUGGGCCCGCGUUGGAUUAGCUAGUUGGUAGGGUAAAAGCCUACCAAGGCGACGAUCCAUAGCUGGUCUGAGAGGAUGAUCAGCCACACUGGGACGGGGACACGGCCCAGACUCCUACGGAAGGCAGCAGUGGGGAAUAUGGGACAAUGGGCGAAAGCCUGAGCCAGCAAUGCCGCGUAGGUGAUGAAGGCCUUAGGGUUGUAAAGCUCUUUUACCCGGGAUGAUAAUGACAGUACCGGGAGAAUAAGCUCCGGCUAACUCCGU